AUUGAACGCUGGCGGCAGGCCUAACACAUGCAAGUCGAGCGGAUGAAGAGAGCUUGCUCUCUGAUUUAGCGGCGGACGGGUGAGUAAUGCCUAGGAAUCUGCCUGGUAGUGGGGGAUAACGUUCCGAAAGGAACGCUAAUACCGCGUACGUCCUACGGGCGAAAGCAGGGGACCUUCGGGCCUUGCGCUAUCAGAUGAGCCUAGGUCGGAUUAGCUAGUUGGUGAGGUAAUGGCUCACCAAGGCGACGAUCCGUAACUGGUCUGAGAGGAUGAUCAGUCACACUGGAACUGAGACACGGUCCAGACUCCUACGGGAGGCAGCAGUGGGGAAUAUUGGACAAUGGGCGAAAGCCUGAUCCAGCCAUGCCGCGUGUGUGAAGAAGGUCUUCGGAUUGUAAAGCACUUUAAGUUGGGAGGAAGGGCAUUAACCUAAUACGUUAGUGUUUUGACGUUACCAACAGAAUAAGCACCGGCUAACUUCGUGCCAGCAGCCGCAGUAAAAC
rnacentral:rRNA from 1 species